UACGAAGGGGGCUAGCGUUGCUCGGAAUCACUGGGCGUAAAGGGUGCGUAGGCGGGUCUUUAAGUCAGGGGUGAAAUCCUGGAGCUCCAACUCCAGAACUGCCUUUGAUACUGAAGAUCUUGAGUCCGGGAGAGGUGAGUGGAACUGCGAGUGUAGAGGUGAAAUUCGUAGAUAUUCGCAAGAACACCAGUGGCGAAGGCGGCUCACUGGCCCGGUACUGACGCUGAGGCACGAAAGCGUGGGGAGCAAACAGG
rnacentral:rRNA from 1 species